UACGUAGGUGGCAAGCGUUGUCCGGAUUUACUGGGCGUAAAGAGCGCGCAGGCGGUUGUUUAAGUCGAAUGUGAAAGCCCCGGGCUCAACUGGGGAGGGUCAUUCGAUACUGAUCGACUUGAAGGCAGGAGAGGGAAGUGGAAUUCCGGGUGUAGUGGUGAAAUGCGUAGAUAUCCGGAGGAACACCAGUGGCGAAGGCGACUUCCUGGCCUGUUCUUGACGCUGAGGCGCGAAAGCUGGGGGAGCAAACGGG
rnacentral:rRNA from 1 species